AACGAACGCUGGCGGCAUGCCUAACACAUGCAAGUCGAACGAGACCUCCGGGUCUUGUCGCGCACGGGUGCGUAACGCGUGGGAACCUGCCCUUAUGUUUGGACUAACUCUCCGAAUGGGGUGCUAAUACCGGAUCAUGUCUUCGGACCAAAGAUUUAUCGCGUUUGGUUGGGCGCGCGUUGGAUUAGCUUUUUGUUAGGGUAAUAGCAUACUACGGCGACGAUCCAUAGCUGGUUAGAGAGGAUGGUCAGCCACACUGGUAGUCGGACGCGGCCCAGAAUCCUACGGAAGGCAGGAGAGGGGAAUAGAGGACAGUGGGGGAAGGGAUGAACGAGCAAUGACGGGUAAGUGAUGAAGGCAGUAGGGAAGUAAAGCUCUUUUACCCGGGAUGAUAAUGACAGUACCGGGAGAAUAAGCUCCGGCUAACUACGUG
rnacentral:rRNA from 1 species